rnacentral:lncRNA from 1 species
AACUGUCAAAAAAGUAAACAACACACGCAUGGUGUGAAAAAUGCUUAUAAUUUUGGUCAAAAUAAAUGUUUCCACUACCAAACACUCAAGAUAAUAGCUCCCUUAAAUAUAUGUUCAAUUGCAUAUACAGAGCUCAAUUUUUGAUUUUCAUUAUUUUUAUUUGCCCCACAUACUCAACAUAUUCUCAUCGAAUACUUUCUAUCUGGGUCAUAUUAAAGGUAUGUGUAGAAUUUACUUAUGUGUAUCCCAUACCACAUGGAAUAAACGAAGAUGGCCGCCAAUAAGAAUUACAUCGAUUUCUAUUGAUAACUUGAAGGUGUGAAAAUACUUUCCCAUCAACUAUCACAACUGGAAGAUGCUCUGGCGAGGUUUAGCAGUUAGCAGAAAAGGAUGAGACUUUGGCGAGAGCAAACCAAAUGAGGUGAAGUAAAACUGUAAAAUAAACAUGCUCAUGGUCUGUGCAUCAAUCUGUGCUUAUAGUAUCUGUGCAUCAAUGUUCGAAAUAUAUCUGAUUCACAAAA